CAAGCAAGCUGGACAGCCGCGCCUGCGGGGCGAAAGGCCCGUGGGUGAGGAAAGUCCGGGCUCCAUAGGGCAAGGAUAACGGGUAACACCCGCCGGGGGCGACCCUAGGAAAAGUGCAACAGAAAUAGACCGCUGGCCGGUUGCCUCCAUGUGGAGGCGGAUGCAUCACGGCGGCCGCAGGCCGACGUGAUACACCCAUUUUCCGAAACUAGGAACAGGACCGCCUUCAGAUGGAGGCGACCGGCCAGUAAGGGUGGAAAGGCGAGGUAAGAGCUCACCCGAUGGCGUGCCAAGCGUCCAUCGCUGUAAACUCUAUCCGGAGCAACGCCGUGGAGGGACAACAGGCCGGCCCGGCCGUCCCGGGGAGGCGGCUUGAGCGUACCGGCAACGGUGCGUCGAGAUAGAUGGCUGUCUUAAAGGACAGAACCCGGCUUACAGGCUUACUUGCAGA
rnacentral:RNase_P_RNA from 3 species